GUGCUCCCACUUUGAUAGCCCAUAUACUACAAUUGGAAGGGUACAGAGAAGAUCAGCAAGGCCCCAGGGCAAGGAUGACGUGUAAAUGUGUGAAGCAUCCCACGGUUUU